CCUACGGGAGGCUGCAGUGGGGAAUAUUGCACAAUGGAGGGAACUCUGAUGCAGCGACGCCGCGUGAGUGAAGAAGUAACACGGUAUGUUAAGCUCUAUCAGCAGGGAAGAAAGUGCUGGUACCUGAAAAAGAAGCAGCGGCUAAAUACGUGCCAGCAGCGGCGGUAAUACGUAAGGAGCAAGCGUUAUCCGGAUUUACUGGGUGUAAAGGGAGAGUAGGUGGCAGAGCAAGUCCGAAGUGAAAACCCAAAGCUCAACCCUGGGAAUGCUUUAGAAACUGCCCAGCUCGAGUGCAGGAGAGGCAAGUGGAAUGCGUGGUGUAGCGGUGAAAUGCGUAGAUAUUAGGAGGAACACCAGUGGCGAAGGCGGCUUGCUGGACUGUAACUGACACUGAGGCUCGAAAGCGUGGGGAGCGAACAGGAUUAGAUACCCGAGUAGUC
rnacentral:rRNA from 1 species